UGAGGCGGGCUGUCAUGCCACCCAGGCGAGAUCUGCUGCAGCCGCUCUUUAUGCAUGCCACGGGGAUAAGGCUGCGUGAUAAGAGGCUCCAUUUUGGGGCCACUCGGCAUGCUUCUUGAUAAAGGCUAACAAUAGUGCACCAUGGACUUCCCUGCUCUUGACGCCCAGCGCUUGUCAACAGGGAAGAGUGUGAGAGGAAGGAACCCAGCGUUGCUCAUCACCUUAUUUAGUAAGUGAACCCGAGUGCCGGGCCAGGCUAGGGAUGACUUAACCUCAGUUUCUAUUUGCAGCUCCAUGUGGAGACAGCUGGCCUGCCCAGGCCUGGUGGGUCUCCUUUUACACCGAAGGGGAAUGAGGGCAGAUUAGGAGGACGACCUCCCCUCUCGCUGGUGGGUGGACCUGGUAAUCUAGCAUCAGGCACCAGAUAGAUAUUUUUGGCAAAGGGCAUGUGUUCUUUCUUUUUCUCUUGCCGGCAUCCCAACACCAGUUCUAGGGGAAGCAAACUCACAUGUUCUCUAAGGAAAUGGCUCUUGGCUACAGCUUCGACUCCCAGGCCUUCUCCUGUGCCAGUGUACACACGGCGCCACCACUGCCAUCCUCGCCGCCGUCUUGUUGGACCACGCCUCCUCAGGUUGCCAGGAAAGAAAGUAACGGGGAUAAAAAGAAAGGCUCGGGGCUCCUCCGAGCAGACACCGCACUGCCAGGUAUGGAGUACGCGCUUUGUGUGGAAAGUGAAGCAAAAGUAACUUUGGGGCUGGGCCGUGUAAUACUAGCCGGUGUACUAACAGGACAGCACCAGCUUCUGAACAAUGAAUUCAAAGGGGCUAUAAAGUUUCACUCCUGUAGACCGCGGCGACGUGCUAGACAAUCGUGAGGAGGGAAGGAAGCGGUGCCGACGGUCUGUGGCCCCAAACAGGCCACUUCCAUAUGCUCUCGAGUGCCUGACAGCUUUUGCAGCCCAGUCCCAACUCCUCCUCAGCCACGUCCAUAUGGCACCCACAGAUUGGGAGCUUGCCUUUUCUGAAACACUCAGACUCGCUUGGUAUUCUACCGCACUGAAGUUUGUGAGCAGCGACUCUUCCUUCUACUGCAAAAAUAAGAUUAUGGAUAUUAAUUCAUCCAUUUUCUUCAGGGCAGACAAUAAUGGAUCCUGACAGUCUUAUAUUUCAAUUUUGCAGAAAGAAAUUAGUUGCAUAUAUCUAAAAACUAAUAGGAAAAGAAACCAGGCUCUCAUCUCUGCUUCGAGAUUCUUGGUGACACCAAGUGCUUGGGGGUCUCAGUGUGAAAAGACAUUGUUCUUAAGUGCUCAUCAUACAGCAGGGAGCCGGGAAAUAGGAACUUUGGGCUGGAAUGUGUCAUGUCAGGGUGCUGUUCUCAAAGCUGAACUGGACAGUGCGGUAUUUAAUGGAAAUCUUGGAUAUGUAAUGAGCAAAAUGCGUGCAGAGCGUUUGUCUGGAGUGAUGAUCAGUGUCAGUAUUGCUGGGGACAUGUUUACAUAUCAUUAAGCUUUUGUUUCUAGACUCCGAAUACUCAGUGCCACCUGCCAUUUGGCAGAUUUAACGGGCAGUGGUCAUUAUUUUCAUAUCAGCAGAGAAAGGCUGACAUCAUCUAAACUAUAAAUAAAAGGAUGAAAGCGCCGAACACUUGCCGUGGAGGGCCUCCACCGUUAGUAAGAGAUAAACACAUUUCCAAGAAGCAUGCACCCUCAGGUCUGAGUAAUGCAUGUGAAGGAGUCUGUCACUUCGACAAAAGCUUUCCUAAAACACAGUGAGAACACCAACACACCGAUGAGGGUGCAAUUUGUAAAAGAAGAGAAACAGAACGCUAGAGAAACAGUCAAUAUAAAUUUGGUGAGUUGAAAGUACAAGAACAAAAUUUGUAAAGUAGAAAAGAUAAGAGCGGCAACAAACCUCCCCAGAGCUGCACUCUAGCACUUCAAGACCGGAAGGGAGGAAAAUAAACAUCAGCAUCCUUUCCUAGCUGGUGCUGUGGGUUUUCUCUUUGCUCAGCUCUUGACAAGCUGUGGACGUGUUCUGGCCUUUCGGAGGAGUCAGGGAAUAGCAUGGUGGGUGCUUCCUGUAUUGAAAUGUGCACACAUGGGGAAAUACCAACGCAUCGGAGACAUGAGCUUUUGUGCUGACACAUGAUCUUAAAGACUGAACACAGCCAAGACUCUGGCGGUUUCGAAUUCAUGAAGAAAAGGCCUGGGACCCCAGCCUUCCCUGCUGCCCAGUCCACUAUGGGAAGCUUUGGGAGGAAAGUGGUCCUGGGACCGCGCUCACGUCUCCAAGCCCAUUCCAUGCCCUUUGCCAAUGUCUACAAAUACUUCUGCCUGUACUGUUGAAGGCCCCAGCGUGAAGCGACAGGUACUUAUCCCUUAAUGGGUAAGAAACUCUCAGGCUUUUAGAGGUCUUGAGUUGAAGAGACGAAAGGUUCAUGUUUUUGGUUCAUUUCAAAGUAAAUUAUGGUUUUCUUAGAAACUACUACUUACCAUGAAGACAUGCCUGUCCCUGACAGUCUGUGCACGCCGUCUAUUUUCACCUUACGGGAGACUAAUUAAAGCUAGAUCACAGCUCCCCCAGGCCUGAAACAUUGUGAAGAGUAGCAUUUUGAUGCAGUGUGUGGAGUACUGUGCGAAAUGCGCAGCGAAUCAUUUGCUGUAACCUUUGUUGGGAGGCACGCAUGCAUGCAGGACCUGGAUGGCAGGUUUUAUCUUUUAUUUCUUACUUGUCCUAAGCCAACAUCUGCAGAGGAACAGCACCUGCGAGCUCCUCAGGACACACUAAAGCAUGUCUUCCCCACAAGUGAGUGACACGUGGACGGACCAUGAUGGCUGUUUCAGGUUCUCAGACACAAGAACAACACUCGGGCAAAGCCAGGCGUGGCUGAAUGGCAACGGCAGAUACUGAGGGGAACUGGGUGCUGGUCACGGACUGAAAACAGCUCUAGGCAAAGCAUGAGGAAGACAACUUACAGGAAGGGACCAGGCUGCCUUCUAGAAGCAUGGUCACAGACUUUCUGUUUAUGGACCGUCACACACACAGAUCACCUGCGGCUUCCCAAGGCAGGAACCUUUAAAGCUGAAGAUCACGGUCUGACUCAGUAGGGGAGCAGCUUUUGAAAGACAUCAGACACCUCCAAGACAGUGCCUUGGCAUCUCCUCUGGAGCUUAGGGCCUAAGUGUACAUUCUUUGUGUUAGAGAUAGCAAUGAGUCAUUUUGAUGGGGGACAGGAUUGGGUUAUGAAUUGUCACCGAAGCAAUUUAUGCAGUAUUGAAUUAUUUCAACAGAGACAACACAUUUGGUAAAUGCCUACUACUUCCAGACACAGGAAACUACUUAGGAGAGUCUUCUCUAUGCCUAGAAAAGCCCCCUGUCUCCCCGACGGGAUAUGCAAGGCACAACUACGCUUGGGGACUCUGUUGGCACAGAGCACGUAAUUUUAUUUAGGAAAUAUUACCAUUUAAAUGCACACAGUCACAACAUAGCAGCAAAGUGACAAUUACAAUAAAAAAAGUAUUAUACGUGGU